rnacentral:rRNA from 1 species
GACGAACGCUGGCGGCGUGCUUAACACAUGCAAGUCGAACGGAAAGGCCCUGCUUUUGUGGGGUGCUCGAGUGGCGAACGGGUGAGUAACACGUGAGUAACCUGCCCUUGACUUUGGGAUAACUUCAGGAAACUGGGGCUAAUACCGGAUAGGAGCUCCUGCUGCAUGGUGGGGGUUGGAAAGUUUCGGCGGUUGGGGAUGGACUCGCGGCUUAUCAGCUUGUUGGUGGGGUAGUGGCUUACCAAGGCUUUGACGGGUAGCCGGCCUGAGAGGGUGACCGGCCACAUUGGGACUGAGAUACGGCCCAGACUCCUACGGGAGGCAGCAGUGGGGAAUAUUGCACAAUGGGCGGAAGCCUGAUGCAGCAACGCCGCGUGCGGGAUGACGGCCUUCGGGUUGUAAACCGCUUUCGCCUGUGACGAAGCGUGAGUGACGGUAAUGGGUAAAGAAGCACCGGCUAACUACGUGCCAGCAGCCGCGGUGAUACGUAGGGUGCGAGCGUUGUCCGGAUUUAUUGGGCGUAAAGGGCUCGUAGGUGGUUGAUCGCGUCGGAAGUGUAAUCUUGGGGCUUAACCCUGAGCGUGCUUUCGAUACGGGUUGACUUGAGGAAGGUAGGGGAGAAUGGAACUCCUGGUGGAGCGGUGGAAUGCGCAGAUAUCAGGAGGAACACCAGUGGCGAAGGCGGUUCUCUGGGCCUUUCCUGACGCUGAGGAGCGAAAGCGUGGGGAGCGAACAGGCUUAGAUACCCUGGUAGUCCACGCUGUAAACGGUGGGUACUAGGUGUGGGGUCCAUUCCACGGGUUCCGUGCCGUAGCUAACGCUUUAAGUACCCCGCCUGGGGAGUACGGCCGCAAGGCUAAAACUCAAAGGAAUUGACGGGGCCCCGCACAAGCGGCGGAGCAUGCGGAUUAAUUCGAUGCAACGCGUAGAACCUUACCUGGGUUUGACAUGGAUCGGGAGUGCUCAGAGAUGGGUGUGCCUCUUUUGGGGUCGGUUCACAGGUGGUGCAUGGCUGUCGUCAGCUCGUGUCGUGAGAUGUUGGGUUAAGUCCCGCAACGAGCGCAACCCUUGUUCACUGUUGCCAGCACGUUAUGGUGGGGACUCAGUGGAGACCGCCGGGGUCAACUCGGAGGAAGGUGGGGAUGACGUCAAGUCAUCAUGCCCCUUAUGUCCAGGGCUUCACGCAUGCUACAAUGGCUGGUACAGAGAGUGGCGAGCCUGUGAGGGUGAGCGAAUCUCGGAAAGUCGGUCUCAGUUCGGAUUGGGGUCUGCAACUCGACCUCAUGAAGUCGGAGUCGCUAGUAAUCGCAGAUCAGCAACGCUGCGGUGAAUACGUUCCCGGGGCU